rnacentral:rRNA from 1 species
UGCGUAGGUGGCGUGGUAAGUCGGGUGUGAAAUUUCGGAGCUUAACUCCGAAACUGCAUUCGAUACUGCCGUGCUUGAGGACUGGAGAGGAGACUGGAAUUUACGGUGUAGCAGUGAAAUGCGUAGAGAUCGUAAGGAAGACCAGUGGCGAAGGCGGGUCUCUGGACAGUUCCUGACACUGAGGCACGAAGGCUAGGGGAGGCAAACG